AUGCCUUCUUCCCCGUUUCCUCUUUCGUCUUCCCUUUCAUCUUCAGAUUUCUAAUCUUUCAUGUCUUCUUCCUUUCAACAGAUUUCUAAUCUCUCAUUCCUUAUUCCUUUUUCCUCUUCGUUUCCAAAUCGCUGUCAUCUCCUCUUUCUUUCCUUCUCAAGAGCCAAGGGGUGGUUUUGGUCUGAGGCUCUUGUUUUCGUCGGCCCUCGUCAACGCCACAAGCAAAUUGAAUUAAAAGAAGAAGAUGAAGAUUCGAGAAGCUGGUGUUGAAAUCCUCCAGAACGUGUGGUCGGCAUCAUUUACAACUCAGUUUUUUUCCCAGAAAAAUCCUUCUUGUCUGCCGCUGCAAUAUUGCUCUGCCGCUUGGGCAGAGGUUCUGAACCCUGGUAUAGAAUACUGUUGGAGUAUCCGAUUCAAGCAUAUAUGGCCAAAGAAAGGAAAGCUGGAGAAGUUGUCGCUCUAAAGAACAUACGCAUGGACAAUAAAAAAGAAUGGUUCCAUAUGACUGCCAUGCGUGAAAUAAAAAUUCCAAGGAAGCAGCAUUUUUAUCCCAAGUUGCUGACACCUUUCUGAAAUGCAGGAUGGAGAGGCAUAUACUUACCUACUUAAUGUACUUGCACCUGAGCACUGUAGUCCAGCCACAUUAGAUGCAAAGGAUCCUGUCCAAAGAGCAAAUUUGGUUCUUGACCUUGCAGAGCUUAUGGACUGCAAAAGAUACUUAGCCCCAAAGGAUAUUGUCGAAGGCUCGACCAACUUGAAUCUCGCAUUUGUUGCACAGAUUUUCCAUCAGAGGUGGGAUUUUUGUGUCUUCUUCCUCUACUGAAAUCCUUGAGAUAACCAGCUAUAUGGUUAUGAUAUAGAUACUGAGUCAGACUUGGAAACUGGGGGUUAACCUCGGGAUGAAAAGUUUGUGUAUUGUAGCUUUCUGUUUGUACAUCACAAUCGCAGCUUUUCGAAAACACAUGCUCGGCUCUGCAUUUGGAUUUCUUAUUUUUUUUCAUUAUGAUUGCAAGUUGUAUGAAAGAUAUUUGCAUUCAAGGAGUGACCUUUAUAAUGUCUUGUGCAUCUGCAGCAUAUACUGGAAAGACUGAUAGGGAAAAUCUCUGCUGCAGUUGAUUCUUAGAAGAAUUUUUGUUCUCAAAAUAUUAUACCAAACAUAUUCUUUAAAAAUUUCAACUGUUUUCUGGAAGUACCCUUGAAAGAAAAUUUGAAAAAACUGAAGCAAAUGAUAAUAGGACAUUCUAAGAGUGCAUUUGUUGUUAAUGGGUUUCAUUUUUUGCUUUUACCAAAAUGCAUUAAGCAAAGGGGCUGUUAUUCUAUGGCAAAAAAAUAUUGUUAUCUUGUUCAUACUGUUUGUUUAUUUGUUGUCUACUUGCUGUAUUUAUGUUGAUGCUUUUAUUCGUAUACAGGAAUGGCUUGUCCACAGACAAUAAGAAGAUCUCAUUCACAGAGAUGAUGACUGAUGAUGAACAAAUGUUUAGAGAAGAGAGAUGCUUCCGACUGUGGAUCAACAGUUCGGGAAUCACAUCUUAUGUCAAUAGCCUCUUUGAGGAUGUUAGAAAUGGUUGGGUAUUGUUGGAGGUGCUGGACAAUAUUUUUCUGGGAUCAGUUAAUUGGAAACAGGCAACAUAACCUCCUAUAAAAAUGCCGUUCAGAAAUGUGGAGAAUUGCAACCAAGUCAUCAAAAUUGGGAAGCAAUUGAAACUUUCUUUGGUAAAUGUAGCUAGGAAUGAUUUUGUGCAGGGAAAUAAGAAGCUUAUACUUGGUAAUAUGUUUAACAUGCCAUGCUACAUCCAGUUCUGCAAGUAUUAUCUUAUAUAUCAGCUAUUUGAGUUUGAGAUACCUGUCUCAAUAUAUUUCCUUCUCCCUCUAUUUAACUAUCCCUCAAUUUAUUUUUCUUUUUUGGUUUUUUCUCUCUCAUGAGCUGGCAGUAUUUUAUAAUGCCUGUGGGGCUUAAUAUUUUAGUUAAAAAGAUCCAGGUAAAUGGCUAAUUCUGCUAAUGAUGAUCUGAAUAGCUGGCUUUGGUAACUUCUGAAAAUCGUAGCUGUACUGUUCAACUGAAGUUGCCUGUUAAGCAUCGCAAUAGAUUGUGCAAAAUCAUGCACAAUGUGCUCUUCAUGUGGUCUGGAGCAUUUGACUUGAUAGUCAGAGAUUUUUUUUAGAAGAAAGAAGGGGGGUGGUUUAAAAAGGUACUGACAAGUUUUUGAUAAAGAGUUCUCAAAGGGGAUAUCUUUAAGUAAACCUGAAAGUGUGUUUCUUUUACUAUCUGAUUGCUCUAGCUUUUAAGAACUCAGUGUUCUUCAUUUUUUGUUUUAUCACUCAGCUUUUCUGUGGCAAUUGAUGAGGUGUAAUAUUCUUCUACUCUAGGAGAAUUUGAGGUCACGCUUCCAAGGCAAGGAGAUAUCUGAUGCUGAUAUUCUAAAGUGGGUAAACAAAAAAGUGAAGAGUACAAGCAGAUCAUCUCAAAUGGAGAGUUUUAAGCCAAGCAUAUAUGGCCAAAGAAAGGAAAGCUGGAGAAGUUGUCGCUCUAAAGAACAUACGCAUGGACAAUGAAAAAGAAGGGUUCCCUAUAACUGCCAUGUGUGAAAUAAAAAUUCCAAGGAAGCUGAAUUUGUGCUGUUUUGGGACCCCACCCUUUGGUGUGUAGCUUGUGUUCUGAAAAAAACUAUGGUCUCUAAAUCUGGGAUGAACCGAACUUGAUUUAGUCGCACCUUACCUUUCAUUUAGCUGUCACAAGCAUAUAUCAACUCCCUACUCCUGAUCAUUUUUAGUCAACGAUAGAAAGUGUUUCUACCAGUUUUACACUCAAUCUAAAUACAGCUUGGUAAAUGGUUUUUUCUAUGGAAUAUAUUCUCAGCUUCAUUGUCCAGUAAGCCAGCUAAGAAUGCAUGCCUGUUGUCAAUAGGAACUUCCACAGUAUGCAGAUAUUCAACUUAAUGAGAGCAGAACAACAACAAUCAUUCUCACCAAUGGAUGCAAAAGUUAUGCCAUCGGCAUGAAGCAAAGAUCUUUCCACCAGAACUGGAACAACUUUGUCACUGACCAUGUUCUUCGGCCCGGAGGGUUAUUGCUCUUUAUUCCCCAAUCAUGCAACUCCUUUGCUGUUGUUGUAUUCAAUAAAAAUGUAUCCAUGGCAUAGGCCAUAAUUAAUCUGGCGCAUUUCAGUAAUGUAUCAGUAAUCUGCCAUUUUACUGUAUCAGUAAUCUUCCAUGUUUUAAUGAUUCUGUUGCAAUGCAAUGUAAGGUUAUUCCCCGUUCUCCA